rnacentral:rRNA from 1 species
UGCCUCAGUAACGGCGAGUGAAGCGGCAAGAGCUCAAAUUUGAAAGCUGGCUCCUUCGGGGUCCGCAUUGUAAUUUGCAGAGGAUGCUUCGGGUGCGGCCCCUGUCUAAGUGCCCUGGAACGGGCCGUCAGAGAGGGUGAGAAUCCCGUCUGGGAUGGGGUGUCCGCGCCCGUGUGAAGCUCCUUCGACGAGUCGAGUUGUUUGGGAAUGCAGCUCUAAAUGGGUGGUAAAUUUCAUCUAAAGCUAAAUACUGGCCGGAGACCGAUAGCGCACAAGUAGAGUGAUCGAAAGAUGAAAAGCACUUUGAAAAGAGAGUUAAAAAGCACGUGAAAUUGUUGAAAGGGAAGCGCUUGCGACCAGACUCGCCUCCAGGGUUCAGCCGGCAUUCGUGCCGGUGUACUUCCCUGGGGGCGGGCCAGCGUCGGUUUGGGCGGCCGGUCAAAGGCUCCCGGAAUGUAGUGCCCUCCGGGGCACCUUAUAGCCGGGAGUGCAAUGCGGCCAGCCUGGACCGAGGAACGCGCUUCGGCACGGACGCUGGCAUAAUGGUCGUAAACGAC